rnacentral:lncRNA from 1 species
AAGAUUCCAUCACCACCAUCUUCUCUAUUCUUGAUAAUUGGCCUAAGCAUAAAACUUGUUCAGUUCCUCUGUACAUAACAAGCAGACGUCAGCAUACCCAACACGGUUUCCCUCGCAGCAACAAGCCAGUGAGCACCGCAGAGACGCCGGUGUUUCAGACUUUGUCGGAGUCAAACUCCCAAAAACCCAGAAAAGAAACUUUUCAAAAUUCGAUGGAAUUUGAUAAUCUAAUACACUCGAGCGUAGAGAAUAGGAAGAGGAGUGUUCAUGUACCAGCUAGAGUCGAUGGGUUUCGCCGGAGUGGCCGGAAUAUCGAGUUCGGCUGGAAAAGCUCCAACUUCUCUCUUUGAUUUUGUUGUCCUCUGUGGAUGCAGGUGCAGUCCGAGACCUUAAGCUUGAAGCUGACGCCGAGAGGAACAAGUGUGCUGUAGGAAAGUCGCCGGAAGGAGUAGAGCCAGAAACUCAUUACAAGCAGCUGCAGGUUCUUCCCAUUUUACCAGACGCCGUUGAUAUCAAUCGGAACGGCCGUCAACUGAGAAAUCUCAUUACUGUCCCUCGAAAAUCAUUUCUGUGGAUAGAAAUCUGCCACGCGUCUCGUGCUCACUCCUGGCGUACUACACUCUGGCGUAUUCCAUGUUAAUUACUUAC